rnacentral:antisense_RNA from 1 species
UUAAAAUGAGGAACCGCUCCUUGAAUGUUCUGGACAGAGCACAGAAUUGCUUCUUAAGUCAGCCCGGCGCGGUUGCAAUAGACAGCAAAAAGGUAAACGUUUGCCUGAAAUCCGCACGCCAGCUCCACCACCCCGCCCGAUGGUCCCGGUUCCUCUGGGAAUCGUCCUGUAUGCAACAUCUUCACAAGGGUGGCAGGCAGUUGAAUCUCUGGACUUCGUGAGACCACUGGACAUUUGGCAGAGAACCAGGAAGCCACGGUUCCCUUCUGUGAGUCCCUCAGCCGGAAAACUACAAGGUGUGUGACUGUAGGACGAGGCUUUUUGAAACAUGAUGUGUGACACUUUGAGAAGUGUUUGGAAAGAAACUGGCUGACGUCGAAUGGAAAUUUGAACAUUCACAGAUUUCUUUUCCUAGAUACAGAAACACAAAAGCUUACAUGUACACAUUUAAAAAAAAUUUAAGUUAUCUUUUCUUUCUUGCC